rnacentral:rRNA from 1 species
UACGUAGGGUGCGAGCGUUAAUCGGAAUUACUGGGCGUAAAGCGUGCGCAGGCGGUUCGUUGUGUCUGUGGUGAAAGCCCCGGGCUUAACCUGGGAAUGGCCAUGGAAACUGGCGAGCUGGAGUGUGGCAGAGGGGGUGGAAUUCCGCGUGUAGCAGUGAAAUGCGUAGAGAUGCGGAGGAACACCGAUGGCGAAGGCAGCCCCCUGGGUUGACACUGACGCUCAGGCACGAAAGCGUGGGGAGCAAACAGG